GUCGGUGUGGCAUAAUGGUUUGAGCGUUGGACUUCAAUUCUGGAGAUCAGGGUUCAAUUCCACGCUCAGCCA